CAAUAGCGUAUAUUAAAGUUGUUGCGGUUAAAAGCUCGUAGUUGGAUUUCUGUCGGUGAGUCGCAGUCCGCUCUCAGUGGUUGGUACUAGCGAUCUGACCGGCAUCUUCCUGGGGACUGUGUCUGCUCUUUACUGAGUGGCGCAUAAUCCAGGACUUUUACUUUGAGGAAAUAGGAGUGUUUCAAGCAGGCAAUCGCCAUGAACAUGUUAGCAUGGAAUAAUAGCAUCGGACCUCGUUCCAAAGCUGUUGGUUUCUUGGAAUGAGGUAAAGGUGAAUAGGGAUUGUUGGGGGCAUUCGUAUUUAACUGUCAGAGGUGAAAUUCUUGGAUUUGUUGAAGACGGACUACUGCGAAAGCAUCUGCCAAAGAUGUUCUCAUUGAUCAAGAACGAAAGUUAGGUGAUCGAAGAUGAUUAGAUACCGU
rnacentral:rRNA from 1 species